rnacentral:lncRNA from 1 species
GGAUUCCAAUUCUUUGACAAUUCAUGUGAGCAUCCAAUAGCUGGCGUCCUUUCCAAUCUGGGUUGGGAAUCAAGCAGAUGGUGUAAUUUCAAUUUAAAAAAAAAACAAAAAAAAAAAAAAAAAAAACAGUUCUGGGGUUCGACAGUUUACCUACGAGAUGCACAGAUCUGGGGUCCUUACUGGUAGAGAAUAGACUCUUGUUCGGCUUCAGCUUGUUUUCAUCUUGGAACAAGUUAGCAUCUGGUGACAUGGAUUGAGACAGAUCUGAAUUUGAGGAAUCCAGGGACUCCAAAACCAUCCAAAAAUUCAGGUGCAUCAGAUAAUUCAACCCCACUGGUUGUGUUUGCUGCAGAUGUGGCCUCCUCACACAGAUGAAAAUGCUGGUGUAAUUGGGUUGAAAGAGAGGAAAGGAUCGUGAGUGUUGGAGAGAAUGAAGAAGAGCGAAGGCGGAGAUGGAUGAUCUUGAGAAGAGAGAAAUCAGAGAUCUUUUCUGAUUCUCUGGACACAGCGAGAGGUUUUGGUUUCUCCAAGCAAUAUUAUUUUUCUUCUGCAAAAUGGGAAUGGACAGAAGAGAGCCUUUCAGCUCUAGGCUCGGGCUAGGAGAAGGGAAUCCAGUAUUUUUUUCAAAAGACAGAUGCAGCAGCUACACCAUGUUAUAUUGUAGCUGUCGCUCAUAUUUGAAACAAGUGUGGACGUGGUUGAGUUGGUCAACGCUCUUUGCAUCCCUGCUCCAGGUCCUGCCUUUGAAUCACUGCAGCGUCACCUCUGCAUCCCUGGUGUGUUCAUUUUUAUUUUAUUUCGUUUUUCUUUUUUUUAUUUUAUUUUAUUUUCUGUUUAUGUUUUAUGUUCUUUUAUUUUCUUAUUUAUUUAUUUAUUUAUUUAUUUAUUUUCUAUUUUUUUCUCCUAAUUACUUCUUUAGUUGUUUCUCUUGUUUAUUUUCCACACCUUGAGGACAAAGUGUGAUUUAAGUUUGGGGGUGGGAAAGUAAAUUUUAUAUUUUUCAUUCUUUUGAGUCUUGUUUAAAAAUUUUCGUUUUUUUUCAGUCAAUAUCCAUAGAUUAUUUUAAACGUUAGAACAAAUGGACAUGGUGAAAAUCAAUCCCACAGUAGAGUCUUUUCUAUUUAUUGUUGCUUAGACACUAAUUCAUGAAUUAUACUUUGAAAUUUGCACAUCACACCAACAUGGUUUUUGGGGAGUGAGAUUGGAAUACUUAUUUUUUUUUUGUCCAAGUGUGUUUUAAUUUCUGUUCAAUAUAAAUAAAGUUAGUACGUGUUAUUAAAGUAAUAAUUGCCUCACCCGAAACUUUGCUAGUAACCGGGCCAGUCCUACCUAAUCAGCAGU